GACAGAGGGUGCAAACGUUGUUCGGAAUUACUGAGCGUAAAGCGAGUGUAGGCGGUUCGAUAAGUCGGAUGUGAAAGCCCCGGGCUCAACCCGGGAAGUGCACUCGAUAUUGUCGAGCUAGAGUAUCGGAGAGGUUGGUGGAAUUCUCGGUGUAGAGGUGAAAUUCGUAGAUAUUCGGAAGAACACCAGUGGCGAAGGCGACUUACUGGACACAUAUUGACGCUGAGGUGCGAAAGCGUGGGGAGCAAACAGG
rnacentral:rRNA from 1 species